rnacentral:rRNA from 1 species
GACGAACGCGGCGGCGUGCCUAAUACAUGCAAGUAGAACGCACAGUUUAUACCGUAGCUUGCUACACCAUAGACUGUGAGUUGCGAACGGGUGAGUAACGCGUAGGUAACCUGCCUGGUAGCGGGGGAUAACUAUUGGAAACGAUAGCUAAUACCGCAUAAUAUUAAUUAUUGCAUGAUAAUUGAUUGAAAGGUGCAAUUGCACCACUACCAGAUGGACCUGCGUUGUAUUAGCUAGUAGGUGAGGUAACGGCUCACCUAGGCGACGAUACAUAGCCGACCUGAGAGGGUGAUCGGCCACACUGGGACCGAGACACGGCCCAGACUCCUACGGGAGGCAGCAGUAGGGAAUCUUCGGCAAUGGACGAAAGUCUGACCGAGCAACGCCGCGUGAGUGAAGAAGGUUUUCGGAUCGUAAAGCUCUGUUGUAAGAGAAGAACGGGUGUGAGAGUGGAAAGUUCACACCUGUGA